UGAUGAACCAUGAGCGCACGACCAGAGCGUGAUUACUGGUGUACAUGCCUAUGAUAUGGGCCUUGUGGUGACUAUAGAUGAUCGUUUCUCAGCUUGACUUUGGCCUGCUGUGGUGGUCGUGCGGCGAUCUGA